UUAAUAUUUGAGUAUUUCCCUUAUGGCCAGCUAUAGUUUAGGUUGGUUACGGAUUGUUUUUCAUGGUUCAUCGGUUCGUUUCUUAAUUAUUGGUCACAUGACAGUUCUUGGUCAGAGUAAGAUUCAGUUUGAAUUUAGAAAUUGAAUUGGGCAGUUGUGUCAUACUUUAGUUGAAAACUUUGGACAUUUGGACUUACAGACUACAAUCUACUAAUCAGAUAUACACCAGAUCUACACAUUACUAUAGAUCCAUCCGGAUUCUAAUACCACAUAUUUGAAUCUUUUGGAUGAUAUUUAUUGGAUAACAUUUGGAUGAUCUGUGAAUGAUGUUAUUCUGAGCGAUUGUGAUAAAUAAACCUUGUGACCGGUA